UACGUAGGGGGCAAGCGUUGUCCGGAUUUAUUGGGCGUAAAGAGCGUGUAGGCGGCCAGAUAGGUCCGUUGUGAAAACUCGAGGCUCAACCUCGAGACGCCGAUGGAAACCAUUUGGCUAGAGUCCGGAAGAGGAGAGUGGAAUUCCUGGUGUAGCGGUGAAAUGCGCAGAUAUCAGGAGGAACACCGGUGGCGAAGGCGCCACUCUGGGCCGAAACUGACGCUGAGGAGCGAAAGCGUGGGUAGCAAACAGG
rnacentral:rRNA from 1 species